CUUUAGCCAGAACAGAGCUGUAUGGUAUCCACUGGCUCCCACCUCCCUCACUGCUUCUCACUCUUGUUUAACUUUAGCCAGAACAGAGCUGUAUGGUAUCCACUGGCUCCCUCCCACUCACUGCUUCUCACUCUUGUUUUACUUCAGUCAUCACUAUUAUUCAUCAGAUGAGUCAUACAAAUAUUGCUUUUUUUUCAUUAAUUAGUAUAGAUAUAUUACUAUAAUAAUCUGUGUUUAUUAAUAUCUGUAGCCUUGAUAUACUUCAUCAAGAACUUAUUGCCAUGUAUACACUGGUAUAAUGACAGCUCAUUAAAAAGUAAUUUAUUUUAUAAAAUAUAUUACAGUAAUUUAUUAUUCAAAUAUAUACUGUACCCUGUGUUGUCUUUAAUGGGGAUACUGUACAGUGGUCUAAUCGGCCUAACGAGAGCUUGUGGGUACUGUGCAGACAUGACCCUGCUGGAGGUGAGGGAACUGCCAGUUGUCAUCAUCGUAAAGUUUGUUAUUAUUUAUUCAUUAUUAUGCAGUAUUUUCGUAUGAGCAGCCUAUUAUGGUGUAUGUUUCAUCAUAAAUAAUGUAACAUACAGUAUUAAAUAAUAGGAAAAAUACAAUAUAUAAUUUUUCUUCAAAUAAAAUAACACCGAGUCAGAAGGUAAUCUCUUCCCUGUUGGGGGCGUCCCAGGACUAAUUGUUGCCAUAUGCUUAUGGUGUAUGUUUCAUCAUUAUAAUAACAAAUAUUAACCGCAGCGCCCCGGGUGACGUUCCAGAACGUUCGCCUAUUUUCCAGCCAUUUUUUUUUUUUUUUUGAAAAGUUGAAUGUUUUUCUUGGUUAAUCCCUGCGGCGGGGAGCCUGACCCGGGGCUUAAGGGUUAGAUAAUAGAAAAAUUAUGAAUUAUAGUUUGUAAAUUGACUUCAAAAUCAUGGAGACAUGAACUAUGCCAGGUGUGUGUGAGACAUGAACUAUGCCAGGUGUGUGAGACAUGGACUAUGCCAGGUGUGUGUGAGACAUGAACUAUGCCAGGUGUGUGUGAGACAUGAACUAUGCCAGGUGUGUGUGAGAGACAUGAACUAUGCCAGGUGUGUGUGAGACAUGAACUAUGCCAGGUGUGUGAGACAUGAACUAUGCCAGGUGUGUGUGUGACAUGAACUAUGCCAGGUGUGUGAGACAUGGACUAUGCCAGGUGUGUGUGAGACAUGGAUGAUACAACACACUGCUCUCUUUCCAGGAGGACUACCAUCACUAUUGUCUGAAUUAUUUUACCCAAAAUAUUACCAUUUUUCUGUGACUGAAUGUGUCUUGAACUUACAGCUAACCAAUCACAGUGCAGCAUUAUGGGUGAAUCUAUUCUAAGAGUGGGAGGAUUAAACUGCUCACUCGUAGAUUCGAAUGGAAGACAGAGGUCAAGGGAUUGCCGGCUGGUGGCAGUUUUAAAUGACUGAGCACGACAGGAAUUUCAAACAAGAAAUAUUUAAGGGUUUUGAGAAAUGUUUCUUGCCCGGAAAGGGUCUGGACUUUCGAGGGUUUACAAUAUACAUAACUGGUCUCGGAGUUGUGGGAUUACAGAACGGGGUCCCCGGGUUACGAACGGGUUCUGUUCCUGAGGAAGUUAGUAAGUUGGAACACAAGCUAUAUGCGUACUGUACUGUACUUACAAAACAAUGUUUAAAAUUCCACUAUGGUAUAUCAUAGUCUUAAGUCCUUAUAUACAUCUAAAAUCACUUAAUUUAAAACAAAAGGAAAAUAGAAUGACAAAAUACAGUAAAUGAAAGAAAAAUAAGUCAUUAGGUAAAUAAAAUACAGUACUGUAAAUUUCAAGUUUAACCUCGUGCUUCUCGGCAGACGUUCAUAAGUCGGGGACCUGUACUGGAUACACUUUUGGGUGUUGAUAAAUACUGGGUUACUCUUAGAAGGUUCCUUUAAUGUGACCAACCCUGAGUUCAUGUUUUCAUAUACAGUAUAUAACUUCCCCCAGCUGAUGGGGUGAUUCCUCUAAUGGAUCAUUUGUCUAAAUGUUUAACUUGAAAAACUUAAUUUAAAGGCUCCAUAAAAAUUUCCUUAAAAUUCCCCUAAAACUUCCCUUGUUCUACCCCAGCCAUCCAUUUCAUAUGGGUGGAGGAAAGAUUCACCAAUAUAAUACAGUUGAUAACAGGUAAACAAUUUACACCAAUUUUAAUGUUAAUCACGAGUAAAACAGGCGUACUGUCUGAUUCCUGUAAACGUAUGUAAUCAAACUAAACUAUGACAAUCUUUCAGUCCAAUAGCUUUAUAUUAUAAUGUAUUGUGCUAUCACUCAGUGGAAACUAAUUUAUAUAUAGUAUGAGGAAAUUUGCUCUUUCAUGUAUGACCAUGACAAAUUACUGUAGAGGUAUUAAAUGAAUUUUUUCCUCGGUACAGUACUGACACGAGAGGUUUCCAAUAACUCCCUACACCUUAAGGACUUGUGUAGCUUAACGGAAAUAGUUGACAGAUAUUAGAAAUUGGUUUCUUUUGAUGUACAGUACAGUAGGGGACCAAUACCUCAGUUAUGCACAAAUCUUUAUACAACUUGUUUGAUAUCGUAUACUACCGUACCGUACUUGUUGAACUCAUUCACUCACUCGGUUUACUGUAGGUUGUAAUUGUGUGGGUAGAAAAGUUUGUUGAUAAUUGAAAGUAUUAAGAAUAAACUUUAUUGAUGUAGCUGUAGAAAUUGUACAGAAAAAGGCAUGAUAUAGAAAAGUUAUUAGUACAUUCCUAUGUUAAUAUUUUGGUGUUCAAAUCUCUGGUAACUGUUAUGUUCCAGCACAGUUUGCAUUUACUUAUUUAUUUACUAUUUUUUAUAAAUAUCUUUGCAUCUUGUCAACAAUUAUUGGACUGCAUGUAUUGUACAGACCAUUAAUAGUAUUGUAAAGGGAAACAUGGAGUUAGGAUGAGCAAGAAUACAGGUUAUGUGUACAGUACUGUGUGUUAUGUAUGGUCUUUGAUUUACGUUAAGAUCCAGAGUCGCCCAUAAACAAAAGAUGUGACAUAAUGUAAAUUGGGAUAAAACAAUGGCAUAAGAAACAACUAUCUUAUAAUCAGGCUCCUCUUUGUUUACAUGUAGUAAAUAUUAAUAACAAAUAGAGAUUAUCAUGUAAAUAAAGUUGUGGAUUAUUCAGUCCACAACUGAACCUCUUGGCAAAAUGUUCUUAUAGUCCAGCCGAUUCCCUGCCAGACAACUGCUUAGCCCAGAGAGACCAAAUUAUUGUUGUUGCUUUAUUUAUAGUUUUUCACGUUAAGAUUGUGAUCAAAUUUGAUACAGUAUUAUUAAAUCCCUAUACUUACCCCCUGGUCUGAAGAAAAGUAAACAUAUUUUCUAGAGGGAAAGAGAAUAUUUUCCUUUUAAGCACAGUGGAGUUAACAGUAACAAGUGUAGGCUACCAGAAGUCAGAGUGAAUGAUGCUGUAUUAACCUAAAUUUGAAAUAAGUUGAUGGUGCUCUUUAUUUGAUAUUAGACAUUUCAGGUUCAGGUAACAUUGAAGAUUACUGAUGAGAGAAUAAGGUGUGUCAGUAACCAUCACUGACUGACCAGAUCAUGUCUGCUGGAGUAUUUAUUGUCAUCCAUUAGUUUGGUAGAUUACAGCAACUAAAAGAGACGCCUCAUCCCGGUGAAUGUAGUCUAAGACAACAAUUAUAAAUAGUCUAUACCUGAAGUAACAGUAUGAUGUAAUGUAAAUAGUAGCUAAGAGUUAGUUCAGAAUAUAUAUAUAUAUAUAUAUAUAUAUAUAUAUAUAUAUAUAUAUAUAUAUAUAUAUAUAUAUAUAUAUAUAUAUAUAUAUAUAUAUAUAUCCUUAAAUGUUCAUGUUUGACAAACUAGACUUAAGUAUAAGCUGUAUGUGCUUCUUGCUGGUCCCAGAUAAUACAUUGUAUCUUGUGUAUUUUUAAUAAAUUAUAAACAAUUACAAGCAGUGCUUGUAAUUGUUUAUGUUCUCAAAAUGUUCCUAAAAUUUUUAAUUUUUCUCAUUACACCUUAGGUAGCCUUCAAUAUGUGAAGCUCACUUUAUCAAUAUUUACCACAACUUGAUGUACUGUUACAGUCUUGAAGUGACGUACCUAACCCGUGUCUUCGUCACUUUACCCACAAACAAGUUUACGUUGUAAUUAACCAGGAUCCUGAUUUUCAUCAUCAUGACAAUACAUUUAAUAUAUUCACUUAUACUUUGUUAGUACAGUAUAAGCAUUGUUUAAUCACACAUGAGGACUGAUACACUACUACUGGUAGAUAUUUCUUAUUAAAGUCCAUCCUGGUGAUUAAUAACCAAAACCAAAGAGGAAACCCCAUUGACACAUAUCCCUUGUGUCACGUGUUGGCUGGUACAGUAUAUACUCUAUUAUCAAGGCACAAGUGUUGAUAUUGUGAAAACAUAUACGGAGUGGUUAUCAUCACAAUAACACGUGUGUUGGCCCCAUCCAUGACUAUAUGUGUAAUAAUAGUUUGGAGAUUAAAAUAUUUAUCAACCAUCAGAGUUAAGGCUGACUGUCUGACUCAGGGAUGUUUAUGUUUGCAGAUGCCAAGUAAUGAUUGUGUAUCACAUUGUCCUCUGAUUAAUACUCUGUAAAGCAUCAAAUAGAUUCACUACUCCUCUACAUUUCCUAAACACCUUUGACUAUUGUUUCAUCUUGUUCAAAUUUUCAUGUCAGUUCAAUAUAUCCUUGUUUUUAAUAGUAUUACAGUAUAUAUUGAUGAUUCAGGUGCAUUAUAUCAUAGUAACAUUCAUACGAUGUUGCAGUAGUUUGUGGUAAUGAAGUGUAGUUUACCAUGUUUUAUUUUGUAUUGUACAUUUUUUCUAUACUGUACAAAGUAAAAUAGUAUAUAAACAUUGAAACAUAA